rnacentral:sRNA from 1 species
GGAAGGAUCAUUAUUGAAAUAAAUCUGAUGGGUUGUUGCUGGUUCUCUAGGGAGCAUGUGCACGCCUUGUCAUCUUUAUAUCUCCACCUGUGCACCUUUUGUAGACCUUUCAGGUCUAUGUUGCUUCAUUUACCCCAAUGUAUGUUAAUAGAAUGUUGUGCCUAUAUACAAUAUAUACAACUUUCAGCAACGGAUCUCUUGGCUCUCGCAUCGAUGAAGAACGCAGCGAAAUGCGAUAAGUAAUGUGAAUUGCAGAAUUCAGUGAAUCAUCGAAUCUUUGAACGCACCUUGCGCUCCUUGGUAUUCCGAGGAGCAUGCCUGUUUGAGUGUCAUUAAUAUAUCAACCUUCUCUUGUGGAAUGGUUUGGAUGUGGGGGUUUGCUGGUCUCAUAUAUAUAUAUAUGGGUUCAGCUCUCCUGAAAUGCAUUAGCAGAACGACCUGUUCAUUGGUGUGAUAACUAUCUACG